CAGCAGCCGCGGGAAUACGGAGGGUGCAAGCGUUAAUCGGAAUUACUGGGCGUAAAGCGUGCGCAGGCGGUUAUAUAAGACAGAUGUGAAAUCCCCGGGCUCAACCUGGGAACUGCAUUUGUGACUGUAUAGCUAGAGUACGGCAGAGGGGGAUGGAAUUCCGCGUGUAGCAGUGAAAUGCGUAGAUAUGCGGAGGAACACCGAUGGCGAAGGCAAUCCCCUGGGCCUGUACUGACGCUCAUGCACGAAAGCGUGGGGAGCAAACAGGAUUAGAUACCCCGGUAGUCCCUGUCUCUUAUAC
rnacentral:rRNA from 1 species